CUAAGUUUGACGGCGACCGGCGCACGGGUGAGUAACACGUAUCCAACCUGCCGAUGACUCGGGGAUAGCCUUUCGAAAGAAAGAUUAAUACCCGAUGGCAUAGUUCUUCCGCAUGGUGGAACUAUUAAAGAAUUUCGGUCAUCGAUGGGGAUGCGUUCCAUUAGGUUGUUGGCGGGGUAACGGCCCACCAAGCCUUCGAUGGAUAGGGGUUCUGAGAGGAAGGUCCCCCACAUUGGAACUGAGACACGGUCCAAACUCCUACGGGAGGCAGCAUG
rnacentral:rRNA from 1 species